UUUUAUGGAGAGUUUGAUCCUGGCUCAGAGUGAACGCUGGCGGCGUGCCUAAUACAUGCAAGUCGAACGAUGAAGCUUCUAGCUUGCUAGAGUGCUGAUUAGUGGCGCACGGGUGAGUAACGCAUAGGUCAUGUGCCUCUUAGUUUGGGAUAGCCAUUGGAAACGAUGAUUAAUACCAGAUACUCCCUACGGGGGAAAGAUUCAUCGCUAAGAGAUCAGCCUAUGUCCUAUCAGCUUGUUGGUAAGGUAAUGGCUUACCAAGGCUAUGACGGGUAUCCGGCCUGAGAGGGUGAACGGACACACUGGAACUGAGACACGGUCCAGACUCCUACGGGAGGCAGCAGUAGGGAAUAUUGCUCAAUGGGGGAAACCCUGAAGCAGCAACGCCGCGUGGAGGAUGAAGGUUUUAGGAUUGUAAACUCCUUUUGUUAGAGAAGAUAAUGACGGUAUCUAACGAAUAAGCACCGGCUAACUCCGUGCCAGCAGCCGCGGUAAUACGGAGGGUGCAAGCGUUACUCGGAAUCACUGGGCGUAAAGAGCGCGUAGGCGGGAUAGUCAGUCAGGUGUGAAAUCCUAUGGCUUAACCAUAGAACUGCAUUUGAAACUACUAUUCUAGAGUGUGGGAGAGGUAGGUGGAAUUCUUGGUGUAGGGGUAAAAUCCGUAGAGAUCAAGAGGAAUACUCAUUGCGAAGGCGACCUGCUGGAACAUUACUGACGCUGAUUGCGCGAAAGCGUGGGGAGCAAACAGGAUUAGAUACCCUGGUAGUCCACGCCCUAAACGAUGGAUGCUAGUUGUUGGAGGGCUUAGUCUCUCCAGUAAUGCAGCUAACGCAUUAAGCAUCCCGCCUGGGGAGUACGGUCGCAAGAUUAAAACUCAAAGGAAUAGACGGGGACCCGCACAAGCGGUGGAGCAUGUGGUUUAAUUCGAAGAUACACGAAGAACCUUACCUAGGCUUGACAUUGAGAGAAUCCGCUAGAAAUAGUGGAGUGUCUGGCUUGCUAGACCUUGAAAACAGGUGCUGCACGGCUGUCGUCAGCUCGUGUCGUGAGAUGUUGGGUUAAGUCCCGCAACGAGCGCAACCCCCUUUCUUAGUUGCUAACAGGUCAUGCUGAGAACUCUAAGGAUACUGCCUCCGUAAGGAGGAGGAAGGUGGGGACGACGUCAAGUCAUCAUGGCCCUUACGCCUAGGGCUACACACGUGCUACAAUGGGGUGCACAAAGAGAAGCAAUACUGCGAAGUGGAGCCAAUCUUCAAAACACCUCUCAGUUCGGAUUGUAGGCUGCAACUCGCCUGCAUGAAGCUGGAAUCGCUAGUAAUCGCAAAUCAGCCAUGUUGCGGUGAAUACGUUCCCGGGUCUUGUACUCACCGCCCGUCACACCAUGGGAGUUGUGUUUGCCUUAAGUCAGGAUGCUAAGUUAGCUACUGCCCACGGCACACACAGCGACUGGGGUGAAGUCGUAACAAGGUAACCGUAGGUGAACCUGCGGUUGGAUCACCUCCUUUCUAGA
rnacentral:rRNA from 1 species